UACGAAGGGUUCAAGCGUUACUCGGAAUUACUGGGCGUAAAGCGUGCGUAGGUGGUUUGUUAAGUCUGUUGUGAAAGCCCCGGGCUCAACCUGGGAAUGGCAAUGGAUACUGGCAAGCUAGAGUGCGGUAGAGGGUAGUGGAAUUCCCGGUGUAGCGGUGAAAUGCGUAGAGAUCGGGAGGAACACCAGUGGCGAAGGCGGCUACCUGGACCAGCACUGACACUGAGGCACGAAAGCGUGGGGAGCAAACAGG
rnacentral:rRNA from 1 species